AGUGAACGCUGGCGGUAGGCCUAACACAUGCAAGUCGAACGGCAGCACAGGAGAGCUUGCUCUCUAGGUGGCGAGUGGCGGACGGGUGAGGAAUACAUCGGAAUCUGCCCAGUCGUGGGGGAUAACGUAGGGAAACUUACGCUAAUACCGCAUACGACCUUCGGGUGAAAGAGGGGGAUCGCAAGACCUCUCGCGAUUGGAGGAGCCGAUGUCGGAUUAGCUAGUUAGCGGGGUAAUGGCCCACCAAGGCGACGAUCCGUAGCUGGUCUGAGAGGAUGAUCAGCCACACUGGAACUGAGACACGGUCCAGACUCCUACGGGAGGCAGCAGUGGGGAAUAUUGGACAAUGGGCGCAAGCCUGAUCCAGCCAUACCGCGUGGGUGAAGAAGGCCUUCGGGUUGUAAAGCCCUUUUGUUGGGAAAGAAAUCUUUCAGGCUAAUACCCUGGGAGGAUGACGGUACCCAAAGAAUAAGCACCGGCUAACUUCGUG
rnacentral:rRNA from 1 species